rnacentral:rRNA from 1 species
AUGCAAAACUACUUUGCGGAGAAUCCAACAUAUCCACCGCACCUCUUCCGGAGAAGGUACCGAAUGCGCCGAUCCCUCUUUCUGAAAAUUGUUCAAACUUGCGAGGCAAAUUGUCGGUACUUUACUCAAAGAAGAAAUGAUGCGGGCUUGAAGGGAUUUAGUGCACAUCAAAAAAUCUCCGCAGCUAUGCGCGUGAUUGCAUAUGGCGUUCCGGCUGACUAUACCGAUGAGUUCGAACUUUGUGCGUGA